rnacentral:tRNA from 1 species
GUGGGUUUAGCUCAGUUGGCAGAGCGCCAGAUUGUGGUUCUGGAUGUCGUGGGUUCAAAUCCCAUAAUCCACC